rnacentral:tRNA from 1 species
GGGGGUGUAGCUCAGAUGGGAGAGCGUCUCGUUCGCAACGAGAAGGCCGGCGGUUCGAUCCCGCUCACCUCCA